rnacentral:rRNA from 1 species
UACGGGGGGGGCUAGCGUUGUUCGGAAUUACUGGGCGUAAAGGGCGCGUAGGCGGUCUGCUAAGUUGGAUGUGAAAACUCUGGGCUUAACCCAGAGCCUGCAUUCAAUACUGACAGGCUAGAGUUUUGGAGGGGAUAGCGGAAUUCCUGGUGUAGCGGUGAAAUGCGUAGAUAUCAGGAGGAACACCGGUGGCGAAGGCGGCUAUCUGGACAGAGUCUGACGCUGAGGCGCGAAAGCGUGGGGAGCGAACGGG